CUACGGGAGGCUCCAGUGGGGAAUAUUGCACAAUGGACGAAAGUCUGAUGCAGCAACGCCGCGUGGAGGAUGACACAUUUCGGUGCGUAAACUCCUUUUAUAUAAGAAGAUAAUGACGGUAUUAUAUGAAUAAGCACCGGCUAACUCCGUGCCAGCAGCCGCGGUAAUACGGAGGGUGCAAGCGUUACUCGGAAUCACUGGGCGUAAAGAGCGUGUAGGCGGAUAGAUAAGUUGGAAGUGAAAUCCUAUGGCUCAACCAUAGAACUGCUUCCAAAACUGUCUAUCUAGAAUAUGGGAGAGGUAGAUGGAAUUUCUGGUGUAGGGGUAAAAUCCGUAGAGAUCAGAAGGAAUACCGAUUGCGAAGGCGAUCUACUGGAACAUUAUUGACGCUGAGACGCGAAAGCGUGGGGAGCAAACAGGAUUAGAUAACCGUGUAGUC
rnacentral:rRNA from 1 species